GGUGCUGGGUUCCGAAGCUGCUGGGCUCGACCCGCCGGGGCUGGGCUGGAACCGGUGGUAUUGCAUUCCGACGGGCGGGGCCGGGUUCGGAAGGCCCUGGGCUCGAACCGGCGGGGCUGGGUUCCAUGCGGCGGUGUGGGCAGUCGAGGGCGCAUAUCCCUUCUGGAGCUCUCGGCAGGUACUGACCACACCGAGGGCCUGUGUCCGCUCCCUUCACCCCUCCCCGUCCCGCGGGGUGUCCCCCGGGUGUCCCCUGAUUAUUUAUGAUCCGUUCCAGGGUGACUCCCUUUCUGUUGGGGUCACAUCAAAGCGGAGGAGGAUAAACUGUCAUGCUCUGUGUGUAUAUUUCCACGAUAAUGUUUUUGAAACCCUCCCAGUGUUUUCAGAGGCCGCCCUCCCUCUGCUUCCCAGUGUCCUUUGAUCCCGCACGCUGUUGUCCCCUAUUCUUGUGCAGUGUGAAGUCGGAAUGUCCGACUCCCUUUGUGUGUCUCUGCUCAGAAAACACGCCUUCUCCCAGACAGAUUGUCUCUACAGACGCUCCACAGACAUAGAGAGCGGACCACAGAGUAAAAAUAAUAAAUAAAAGCAGAGGGGAGAGUCAUUUGCUGUGCCUCUUUUGGCACGGGACAAUGCCACGUGAACACAAUGUUAAAGCCUCUAGGUGUCCCAGUGGAUGUGGAGACCUAAAAUUAAUUUCCAUAGCAAGUUUUGUAAAUUUUAGGGAUGUUUGUUUCAUUAGGUGUUUUCUCUUUAAUUACUCCCUCCCCCCACCACCACCAAGAAAGAAAAAAUUGGCUGCAGAACACAUUCCAACAGACUUGUUUCCACCCUGCAGGGCUCAUUCAGGACAAACAGCCAGAUGGAAAGUAAAUGCAUUUGCUUGCAUUUUCCUCUCAGCUCAAGUCAGCUCUUCAGAAAAUAGAAGAUUAGGCUAUGAAGAGAUAAUGAAAAGAAAAAAGAAAAGUCAUUCUCACUAGAGAUAGCUGGCUCCUCAGGCUUGCCCAGUUACAGAAUGAUGGCACGUUCCUCUUUGAAGAAAAGACAGAAUCUCCUAACUUUUAUGUUCUCUACCUUGUCUGCUGGACGUCUGCCAAUACUGGCUAUUGGUCAUACACAGUAACAGUACUACCCCUACAAGAGUUUACAGUGUUUAAAAAUCCUUACCAGACUUCUUGUAAAAUUGUCACAGGGAAAUGAUGAAAUAUUAAAUCACAGGAAAUAGCACUUCUUUGUCAAAACAUUUUAUUGUAACUUCUGUUUAAGGAAAGCAUCCAAAACACCAAAUUCUCCUUGAUGUUUAGUUUCAUUCAAAAAUGGCUUUAUAAAGUGUGUCUGGAGGUUUUUUGUUCAAGCCCCACUCCCAGAAGAUAGGUCCUUGGAUGUGAUUUUCGGUUUGUUGGAGAAGAUUUGAGCUUGCUUUUUAGUCUGUGACAAAUUUCCCAUCUAAGCCCCUUGCCCCUAUAUCUGUUUAGAUUUAUGAUGGUUCUGGUUUACUGUUGGAGAAUAAAC